rnacentral:rRNA from 1 species
GUCCACGCCCUAAACGAUGUCUACUAGUUGUCGGGUUUAAUUAACUUGGUAACGCAGCUAACGCGUGAAGUAGACCGCCUGGGGAGUACGGUCGCAAGAUUAAAACUCAAAGGAAUUGACGGGGACCCGCACAAGCGGUGGAUGAUGUGGAUUAAUUCGAUGCAACGCGAAAACCUUACCUACACUUGACAUGGCAGAAAUCCCGGAGAGAUUUGGGAGUGCUCGAAAGAGAAUCUGCACACAGGUGCUGCAUGGCUGUCGU